rnacentral:rRNA from 1 species
UACGUAGGGUGCGAGCGUUGUCCGGAAUUAUUGGGCGUAAAGAGCUUGUAGGUGGCUCGUUGCGUCGGGAGUGAAAACCUGCGGCUUAACCGCAGGCCUGCUUCCGAUACGGGCGAGCUAGAGUUCGGCAGGGGAGACUGGAAUUCCUGGUGUAGCGGUGGAAUGCGCAGAUAUCAGGAGGAACACCGGUGGCGAAGGCGGCUUCCUGGUCUGCGACUGACGCUGUGGCGCGAAAGCGUGGGGAGCGAACGGG